UGGGGAAUUUUGCACAAUGGGCGCAAGCCUGAUGCAGCGACGCCGCGUGAGGGAUGAAGGCCUUCGGGUUGUAAACCUUUUUCGCUCAUGGUCAAGCCGCAGCUUUGGGUUGUGGUGAGGGUAGCGGGUAAAGAAGCGCCGGCUAACUACGUGCCAGCAGCCGCGGUAAUACGAAGGGCGCGAGCGUUGUCCGGAAUUAUUGGGCGUAAAGGGCUUGUAGGCGGGUGGCCGCGUCUGCCGUGAAAUCCUCUGGCUUAACUGGGGGCGUGCGGUGGGGACGGGUUGACUUGAGUGCGGUAGGGGAGACGGGAAUUCCUGGUGUAGCGGUGGAAUGCGCAGAUAUCAGGAAGAACACCGGUGGCGAAGGCGGGUUUCUGGGCCGUUACUGACGCUGAGGGGCGAAAGCGUGGGGAGCGAACAGG
rnacentral:rRNA from 1 species